AACGAACGCUGGCGGCAGGCCUAACACAUGCAAGUCGUACGAGAAGGUUCUUUCGGGAACUGGAGAGUGGCGCACGGGUGAGUAACGCGUGGGGACCUACCUCUUAGUGGGGGAUAACGGUUGGAAACGACCGCUAAUACCGCAUACGCCCUUCGGGGGAAAGAUUUAUCGCUAAGAGAUGGACCCGCGUUGGAUUAGAUAGUUGGUGAGGUAAUGGCUCACCAAGUCGGCGAUCCAUAGCUGGUUUGAGAGGAUGAUCAGCCACACUGGGACUGAGACACGGCCCAG
rnacentral:rRNA from 1 species